CCACCUCCUUAUAUAUUCGAAAAAUAACAGCGGCCGCGCCGCCGAACGCCACCAAUGGGGGUGCGGGUUAGAAGAGAGGCGGGACCGAGGGCGGAGCCCGUGUGGUGGAAGGCGCGGAGGCUGGACCAGCCGGGCCUCGCCCAGUUCCAGGCUUUGGGUGGGGUGGAGGAAUUAGGGUUUCUCUUACAACCCUCGCACUCCCUCCCAGCUACGGUUCGAGGAGCCUGGCUUCCCAAAUUCCGCUUCUCAGUAUGUGGUUUGGAGCUACACCCCCCCGCCCCCAGCGAAGAGGGUGUGUAGAGGGCCUCCAGCGAAGAGGGCCUCAGAGGAUGCAACAACCCCCCAGGGUGGCCUCAGAGGGACCCCCGCCGUUUAACAUCACUCACAAGCACCGGUUGGCAUCUUGAGAGCCUCCAUUCCCGGAGUCUGCAGAAUACAGCUGUGCUGUGCGGUCUGUUUUCUCCAUUCCACUUUACAGACGGGGACAAUGAGGCGUAGAGAAGUUCAUUAACUCGUUCAAGGUCACAUGGUUGUGCAGAUGGUGGAGUUGAGAUUCACCCCAGGGAGCCAUCUUUCCUGGACCGUGGUGGGAAGGCUGAACCCAAAAGCGAGUGGGUGUAACCGCAUUUAAAAAAGGACUUCCCUGGUGGUGCAGUGGUUAAGAAUCCGCCUGCCAAGGCAGGGGACACAGGUUUGAGCCCUGGUCCAGGAAGAUCCCACAUGCCAUGGAGCAACUAAGCCCGCAUGCGACAACUACUGAGCCCGCGUGUCACAACUACGGAUGCUCGCUUGCCUAGAGCCCGUGCUCCGCAACAAGAGAAGCCACUGCAAUACGUCCACACACUGCAACAAAGAGGAGCCCCCACUCGCUGCAACUAGAGAAAGCCUGAGCACAGCAAUGAAGACCCAACGCAGCCAAAAAUAAAUAAAUUACAAAAUAAAUAAAGGAAGGGUGUUUAAAAAAAAAAAGGAAAAAGAAACUUUAAUAUUUUAUUUAACCUAUUUUAAAAGUUAUCAUUUCAACAUGUUAUCAAUAUAAAAAUUUUUAAUGAGAUGUUUUACAUACUUUUUUUUGGUACCAAGCCUUCAAAAUCCAAUGUGCGUUUUACACACACAGCACAUCUCAAUUUGGACUUGCCAGAAUGUUUUAUACCUUGCUUUCUUUUACUUGAUAUUUUUACUCAAUUCCCUAAUGCUGAACAUUUAUUUAAAUGAUGCAACAGAUAUGCAUAGAAUGAAGUCCUAAAGAGAAACUGCUGGAAGGAAUGGACUUUAUUUAUCAAAAUCUCCUUUUCCCUUUCCUGAAUCUCAUUUUCUCAAUCUGAGUUAUUGAGGAACAGGGACCAAGUCAUUUAUCUCUCCUCCCAUCUCCCAGAACCUUGAAUAGGCCCAAGCCCAAGGUUGGUCUCUAACCCCCAUAUCCUACUUCUAGAGAUUUCUCUUAAGAAGGUGAUAAAAGUACACAGAGAUGUAUGUUCAUAAUAACAAUGAAAAAUGGAGAGUAAGCUGAGUGUCCUUCAAUAGGGAACUAGACAAAAAAGUGGUUCCUCUAUACUGUGCAAUAGCUGAAGCAUUUAAAGAGAACAGGUAUUGGGAGGGUCGGGAUGCCUGGCACCUGGCAAGCCCAAUAAUAAUUGCUGAUUAUUGAAUGAUUACCUAUUGGGCUCUUGGAAAAUGAUCUUUUGGAGAAAGGGUUCCUAGAGUAAAAGAAUUUUGAAAGUCAUUGAUGUAGAUAUUUAUUGACAUGAGAAGAUCUUUACAAUACGGGCUAAAAAAUAUU